AUGCACCGAAGCUGCGGCAGCGACACUAUGUGUUGUUGGGUAGGGGAGCGUUCUGUAAGCCGUUGAAGGUGUGCUGUGAGGCAUGCUGGAGGUAUCAGAAGUGCGAAUGCUGACAUAAGUAACGAUAAAGCGGGUGAAAAGCCCGCUCGCCGGAAGACCAAGGGUUCCUGUCCAACGUUAAUCGGGGCAGGGUGAGUCGACCCCUAAGGCGAGGCCGAAAGGCGUAGUCGAUGGGAAACAGGUUAAUAUUCCUGUACUUGGUGUUACUGCGAAGGGGGGACGGAGAAGGCUAUGUUGGCCGGGCGACGGUUGUCCCGGUUUAAGCGUGUAGGCUGAUUUUCCAGGCAAAUCCGGAGAAUCAAGGCUGAGGCGUGAUGACGAGGCACUACGGUGCUGAAGCAACAAAUGCCCUGCUUCCAGGAAAAGCCUCUAAGCAUCAGGUAACAUCAAAUCGUACCCCAAACCGACACAGGUGGUCAGGUAGAGAAUACCAAGGCGCUUGAGAGAACUCGGGUGAAGGAACUAGGCAAAAUGGUGCCGUAACUUCGGGAGAAGGCACGCUGAUAUGUAGGUGAAGCGACUUGCUCGUGGAGCUGAAAUCAGUCGAAGAUACCAGCUGGCUGCAACUGUUUAUUAAAAACACAGCACUGUGCAAACACGAAAGUGGACGUAUACGGUGUGACGCCUGCCCGGUGCCGGAAGGUUAAUUGAUGGGGUCAGCCGCAAGGCGAAGCUCUUGAUCGAAGCCCCGGUAAACGGCGGCCGUAACUAUAACGGUCCUAAGGUAGCGAAAUUCCUUGUCGGGUAAGUUCCGACCUGCACGAAUGGCGUAAUGAUGGCCAGGCUGUCUCCACCCGAGACUCAGUGAAAUUGAACUCGCUGUGAAGAUGCAGUGUACCCGCGGCAAGACGGAAAGACCCCGUGAACCUUUACUAUAGCUUGACACUGAACAUUGAGCCUUGAUGUGUAGGAUAGGUGGGAGGCUUUGAAGUGUGGACGCCAGUCUGCAUGGAGCCGACCUUGAAAUACCACCCUUUAAUGUUUGAUGUUCUAACGUGGACCCGUGAUCCGGGUUGCGGACAGUGUCUGGUGGGUAGUUUGACUGGGGCGGUCUCCUCCUAAAGAGUAACGGAGGAGCACGAAGGUUGGCUAAUCCUGGUCGGACAUCAGGAGGUUAGUGCAAUGGCAUAAGCCAGCUUGACUGCGAGCGUGACGGCGCGAGCAGGUGCGAAAGCAGGUCAUAGUGAUCCGGUGGUUCUGAAUGGAAGGGCCAUCGCUCAACGGAUAAAAGGUACUCCGGGGAUAACAGGCUGAUACCGCCCAAGAGUUCAUAUCGACGGCGGUGUUUGGCACCUCGAUGUCGGCUCAUCACAUCCUGGGGCUGAAGUAGGUCCCAAGGGUAUGGCUGUUCGCCAUUUAAAGUGGUACGCGAGCUGGGUUUAGAACGUCGUGAGACAGUUCGGUCCCUAUCUGCCGUGGGCGCUGGAGAACUGAGGGGGGCUGCUCCUAGUACGAGAGGACCGGAGUGGACGCAUCACUGGUGUUCGGGUUGUCAUGCCAAUGGCACUGCCCGGUAGCUAAAUGCGGAAGAGAUAAGUGCUGAAAGCAUCUAAGCACGAAACUUGCCCCGAGAUGAGUUCUCCCUGAGACUUUAAGUCUCCUGAAGGAACGUUGAAGACGACGACGUUGAUAGGCCGGGUGUGUAAGCGCAGCGAUGCGUUGAGCUAACCGGUACUAAUGAACCGUGAGGCUUAACCUU
rnacentral:rRNA from 1 species